rnacentral:rRNA from 1 species
GACGUAGGGGGCCAGCGUUGUUCGGAAUUACUGGGGGUAAAGGGUUCGUAGGCGGUGUGGCAAGUCGGGAGUGAAAUCUCUGGGCUCAACUCAGAGACUGCUUCCGAAACUGCUGUGCUGGAGUGUGGGAGAGGCGCGUGGAAUUGCAGGUGUAGCGGUGAAAUGCGUAGAUAUCUGCAGGAACACCCGUGGCGAAAGCGGCGCGCUGGACCACAUCUGACGCUGAGGCGCGAAAGCUAGGGGAGCAAACAGG